rnacentral:rRNA from 1 species
UAGGGAAUCUUCCACAAUGGGCGCAAGCCUGAUGGAGCAACACCGCGUGAGUGAAGAAGGGUUUCGGCUCGUAAAGCUCUGUUGUUAAAGAAGAACACGUAUGAGAGUAACUGUUCAUACGUUGACGGUAUUUAACCAGAAAGUCACGGCUAACUACGUGCCAGCAGCCGCGGUAAUACGUAGGUGGCAAGCGUUAUCCGGAUUUAUUGGGCGUAAAGAGAGUGCAGGCGGUUUUCUAAGUCUGAUGUGAAAGCCUUCGGCUUAACCGGAGAAGUGCAUCGGAAACUGGAUAACUUGAGUGCAGAAGAGGGUAGUGGAACUCCAUGUGUAGCGGUGGAAUGCGUAGAUAUAUGGAAGAACACCAGUGGCGAAGGCGGCUACCUGGUCUGCAACUGACGCUGAGACUCGAAAGCAUGGGUAGCGAACAGGAUUAGAUACCCUGGUAGUCCAUGCCGUAAACGAUGAGUGCUAGGUGUUGGAGGGUUUCCGCCCUUCAGUGCCGGAGCUAACGCAUUAAGCACUCCGCCUGGGGAGUACGACCGCAGGUU